rnacentral:rRNA from 1 species
CAAUAGCGUAUAUUAAAGUUGUUGCAGUUAAAAAGCUCGUAGUUGGAUUUCUGGUGGGGGUCGCUGGUCCGCUGCGAAAGCGGCGUGUACCGAUGCGUACCUACCGCCAUCCUCGGGGGGACUGCGUGUGGGAUUAGUUUCUCGUGCGUAUGGACGCCCGUCUUUUACUGUGAAAAAAUUAGAGUGUUCAAAGCAGGCUGAGGCCGUUGAAUACAUUAGCAUGGAAUAAUAAGAUAGGACCUUGGCGGUCUAUUUUGUUGGUUUGCACGCCAAGGUAAUGAUUAAUAGGGAUAGUUGGGGGUAUUCGUAUUCAAUUGUCAGAGGUGAAAUUCUUAGAUUUAUGGAAGACGAACUACUGCGAAAGCAUUUACCAAGGAUGUUUUCAUUA